AUUGAACGCUGGCGGCAGGCCUAACACAUGCAAGUCGAGCGGAUGAAGGGAGCUUGCUCCUGGAUUCAGCGGCGGACGGGUGAGUAAUGCCUAGGAAUCUGCCUGGUAGUGGGGGAUAACGUCCGGAAACGGGCGCUAAUACAGCAUACGUCCUGAUGGAGAAAGUGGGGGAUCUUCGGACAUCACGCUAUCAGAUGAGCCUAGGCCGGAUUAGCUAGUUGGUGGGGUAAAGGCCUACCAAGGCGACGAUCCGUAACUGGUCUGAGAGGAUGAUCAGUCACACUGGAGCUGAGACACGGUCCAGACUCCUACGGGAGGCAGCAGUAGGGAAUAUUGGGCAAUGGGCGAAAGCCUGAUCCAGCCAUGCCGCGUGUGUGAAGAAGGUCUUCGGAUUGUAAAGCACUUUAAGUUGGGAGGAAGGACAGUAAGUUAAUACCUGGCUGUUUUGACGGUACCGACAGAAUAAGCACCGGCUAACUUCGUG
rnacentral:rRNA from 1 species